GACAGAGGGUGCAAGCGUUGCUCGGAAUUACUGGGCGUAAAGGGCGCGUAGGCGGCCUUCUAAGUCGAACGUGAAAUCCCCGGGCUCAACCCGGGAACUGCGUCCGAUACUGGGAGGCUUGAAUCCGGGAGAGGGAUGUGGAAUUCCAGGUGUAGCGGUGAAAUGCGUAGAUAUCUGGAGGAACACCGGUGGCGAAGGCGGCAUCCUGGACCGGUAUUGACGCUGAGGCGCGAAAGCUAGGGGAGCAAACGGG
rnacentral:rRNA from 1 species